GGUAAUGGCAGGGAUGGGAAAGGCCAGAAAGGUUUGCAUUUUCCAUUGGCCCUGGAGUUUUCUAAAGCUGCUUAGGCUGGUAGGAACUUUCCCCUUUUCCUUUUGCCUUUUUUUUCCCUGAAAGGUGGGAGAGGGAGGAGAUUAGUGAGGGUAGCAUGUUUGUUCAGGCUGGGGGUUCAGGGAAGAGAUGUGGAUUGGAGGUGAAAGGGAAAGUUCUUAGGCGGCUGGAAGAUCAAGUUCUCCCUGUCCCUAAAGAGGGAAAGAAGAGACCAAACCCCAAGGGGAGCAGAGGCCAAGGAAGGAUUCCAAGGUUCAGGCUCUAUCUGCCUUCAGAGUUGGUUCUUCACCCCAGGCUGAAGUUGGAGCUGCCAAACUGCUGGAGGGGAACAGCUGAAAAAUGAAGCUCUGUCUGCUGCUGCAGGAAUGUUGGCUCUAUCAGGCUCACAAAUAUAAUUUUUAUAUUA